rnacentral:lncRNA from 1 species
GCCAGCAGAAGGGAUCCAUCUUCCACCCUGAGCUCCAGCUCGCCCUGCACCUGGGCCGCUCCUCCUACUGUGCGCAGAUCUCAGAUCUUCCUACUGGAACCCCACCUAUCAAGGCUCACAGGGGCUCACAGCAUCCAGGUGGCCCCUCCUGUGUAAACUCAGGGCUGAAGCACAGCGAGGCUGGAGGGGCUGCAGCUGUGAUGCUCAGGCAGCGUCCAGCAUUCUGUGCCCACUGUUAGUGAAUGGGACUGUGCACCAUGGACCACUCUCCUGAGAACCUUCCCUCAUCUAUGAUAACACUUAUGUUGUCUCAAGCCAUGAUCCUUUAUGAAGAUAAUUAGCUGUAAAACAUCCUGUCACAGGAGGUCUUUUGAUCCUAGAACUGAGUUUCUCAACCUCCGCAGGGCUGACACAACUGUCCUGCCUUGGGCUCUGUGAGGACCACCUUGUGCUCUGUAAAAUUAUCACACUGAACACAAUACAAAUUUUAAAAUUCUGCUCUUCAUUAUUACCUUCAUUUCGUUUUCUCCUUGUUUUGAAACAGGUUCUCAUUUUGUAGCACACCCCUCCUGGAACUUGCUAUGUGGAUCAAACUGAUCCUUAAUUUACAAUGAUCCUCCUGCUUCUGCCUCCCAAAAUGCUGAGAUUAAAAUGUACACUGUACAGACUAGAAAGAAGAGUACACUCAUCCUUGACUCUUAGAUGGGCAGCAAUAAUGAUCCCAUCCUUCUCAAGCCCUCCUUUUGACUGAUGGCCUUCGCGGGGAGCCUGCGCAAGGAUGAGAUCCCCAUCAUGCUCUGGCAGCAUCCGCACUGAGCACUUUCCUUCAGUUCCCUCAACACUCACACAGCUAGGGCUCUGAGAAAGUCAUGGAAUUCAACAAGUAACCACCCUCCUAGGUCACCCUCGGUGGCACUUUCAGCCCCAAAUGCUCCUCCCAAGCUCAAGUCUGUACCUAGCCUGACCUCUCCUUACUGAAACUUAGUCCUCUGCUUUGGUUCCUGUGGUCGCGAGGGAAAGUUGGAGCAGAAAGCGACGCGCACAGAGCCCCAGAUAAUGCAGAGAGAUCAAGGUGUGGACACACACACACACACACACUAUCACAUCAACAAACAGCGACCCUAUACGACCGUCCGCACACGCCCACUCCCAGCCGGCUGCCUCAGGCCUUACUCCAUGGAGACCGAAGCCAACCUGAAAUUUCUUCCGCCGACCACAAAGAUCGGACCUUCCGCAUUAGCGGCACCAGAACACCAAAAGCCUAUGCGCUAGUUUCGGCGUGGUGACCCUAAAAAAUGCAGUUAUCACCAGCAAAGCCCCCGUGAAGCCCGGCUCUUGGGGGCGGGGAUGCCAGAUCUGCGAGCGGAGCCCAGUGGUUUGUGGGAGUUCCCACGGGGGUGCGCGCUUAAAGGGGAGGCGCCCUCCUUUGAGUAAAAGUUACUUCCGGUUCUGCGGGGAACUGAUUUUCUCGCCCUUAAAAAGGCAGGGAUGCUCUAGAUAGAAAAUGUGACUGAGGACCACAUGCUAUGCAACAACCGUACUGUGUCUGUUAGACAGGCUAGACGAUCCUCAUAAUAAAACUAGUCGCAUUGAAAGUACUGUAAUCGGUCUAAAAGCUAAAGUACAGGUUUGUCACAUUAGAUUUGAAAAGAGGUCAGACCCAGCUAUCUGUUAACUUCAGAAAAUAUGUUAAAGAUAAAUACUCUAGCAGAUUCAAAGUGACCAUCUUUACAUAAUCAAAAGAAAACUCAAGUCGAUUAUAAAAUGGAGGCAGAUUUGGGGGCAAAGAACAUUGCCAGUGAUAAUAAAGAGGCCAAGACAUCAAGUGAUAGUAAACAUGGCUGGGCGUGGUAGCAAUGGCUUUUAUCCCAGCGAUGGGGAGGUACAGCCAGCUGCAUGUCUGUGAGAAGAGACCACCGAGGACUACCCAGUGAAACCCUGUCUAAGAACUAAAAUACACUCAGAUUAUGGUGGCACAUGCCUUUUACUCUUUUUGUGUCUGAGUUACCUCACUCAGGAUAUUUUCUAGUUGCACCCAUUUGCCUGCAAAACUCAUGAUGUCCUCAUUCUUAAUAGCUAAAUACUAUCCCAUUAUGUAAAUGACCCACAUUUUCUGUAUCCAUUUUUCCAUUGGGGGACAUCUGGGUUGUUUCCAGCUUCUGGCUUUCACAGAUAAGACCUCUAUGAACACAGUGGAUUUGUGGUAUGGUGGGGCAUCUUUUGGGUAUAUUCCAAGAGUGGUAUAGCUGGGUCUUUGUGGUUGAUCUAUUUCCAAACUUCUGAGGAUCCUCGAGAUUGAUUUCCAGAGUAGUUGUAUCAGUUGGCAAUCCCACCAACAAUGUCUUAGAGCUCAGGCUCUAAGAUCCAGAAUUGAUAAAUGGGACCUCAUAAAACUGGAAAGCUUCUGUAAGGCAAAGGACGUAGUCAGGACAAAUCAGCAACCUAUAGAGUGGGACAAAACUUCACUAACCCCACAUCCUAUAGAGGGUUAAUAUCCAAAAUAUAUAAAGAACUCAAGAAGCUAAGCUUCAAAAAUCCAAACAACCCAACCACAAAAUAAGGUAUAGAGCUAAACAGAGAAUUCACAACAGAGGAAUCCCAAAUGAUGGAGAAGCACUUAAAGAAAUGUUCAAAGUCCUUAGUGAUCAGGGAAAUGCAAAUCAAAAUGACCUGAGAUUCUACCUUACAACAAUCAGAAUGGCUAAGACAAAAAACUCCGGUGACAGCACUUGUUUCUACUGCACUUUUGAAACUUAAAGACUGUAUCUAUUUUUAAGAUAUCCCAUAGGCUAAUACUAGACCAGGAGUCCCCAGCUAUAUCUAGGUGACUGUUUCUGCAAAGCUUCCUGUUUUGUUAUUCCACUGGCUUUUGGAUCAUUUAUAAAGAUGCUUAGCCUUCUGUCAGAGUCAUGCGUGAGAACCUGUAGGUCCUCAUCAGGCAAAAAGGUUUUGGACAAGUCUAUGGUCAGAGACCCAGGAUUCAUCACAGAUAAGAGAGGGCCAACUGGAUGAAAAAGUCAUUUUUUUAGCAGCUGCCUUUGAGGAUACAGAUGUGUAUUGAAUAUUCCAAGCUUUCAACAUGGAUGAAAAAUUGCACAUAUGUAGUCUCCCCUCCCCCAGCCUGAAACCUGCUUGUUCUGGGGUGGAGCUUCCUGCUCAUUCGUUCUGCCAUGCCCACUGCUAGAACCUGCCGCCUUGCUGUUCUGAAGCCAUCACGUGCUCACCCUGCUACUGGAUCCGAGAUUAUUUGGCGGGAAUCGGGUCCCCUCCCCCUUCCUUCAUAACUGAGUGUUGCAACAGUAAAAAUGGAGCUUUGAUCAGACUUUUGAC